AAAAAAUUAUUUAAUUAUUGGUUUCGGCCCCCCAGUUGUCUGAGGGACAGCAAUCCGGCCCCCGGCUCAAAAAGCUUGCCUACCCCUGGACUAAAGCAAUGUUAGACCUGCUUUUGGUAACUGAGGAACUGAACUACAGCUGGCCCUCCACAUUUGUGGCUUUGAUUUUGGUGGAUUUGAUUAAUAUGUUCUUUCUAGGAAUCUCUAGGUCCUCCAGUGCAACUCUGUGGUCAAAAAGUUGUGCAAGACGUUGUCCUGGAAGAUCUAGAAAUUCCUAGAGAGAAUGCUUCCCUAUGCAUUUGUAGGUCCUCCAUCACAAGUCUAUGGUCAACAUCUAGCAGACGUUGACCACAGAGUUGCAUUGGAGGACCUAGUCACAGAGAUGCCUGGAGAAAUUCUCUCUGGUAAAAAAAAAAAUGGUUUUUUUAUUUGCUUUAACUGCUAUGGCUAUCUCCUGUGGAAUCCUGGGAUUUGCAUUUUAUGGAAGAGGAUUCAGAAUUUUCAGCCAGAGAGCUUUUAGGCCUCACUAAACUAUAAACCCCAGAAUUCCACAGGAAGCAUCCAUAGCUGCUAAAGUGGAAUAAUAACACUAUUACAGUGUAGUGUGAUAGUGACCUAAAUUUGGAUUUAGCCCAAUAUUUUUUUUAAUGUCCAAUCUACACAACAUUUAGAAGUAACCAUUUAAAGCUGGGGUAUGAAAGCCAGUGUGAUAUAGUGGUUUGAGCAUUAGACAAUGAAUCUGGAGACCAGGGUUCAAAUCCCCACUCAGUAAUAGAAACUCACUGGAUGAUCUUGGGCAAGAUUCACUCUCUGUUUCAUUAAAAUCAAGCCCUCUCUGAAAAAAUCUUGUCAAGAAAAUCCUGUGCUCUAAGUCGGAAAGGAAUUCAAGGCACACAGUAACAACUAUUCAUUGAAAUAUAUAUGUGAAGAUAUGCAACUCAUUUUUGUUUAAAAGAGAAAGGGAGAUGGAGAAAUUCUACUGGUACCUUUAAAACUAAAUGCUUUGUUUUAACAUGAGCUAUUGUGGAUUUAAAUUCAAUUCUUCUGAUGCUGGAUGGAAUGUGAACUUUAAGCCACUGGUAUUUAAGCACAAUUACAUGCAGAUCUAUGAAGCAUCUGUCCUGUUUGUAUUACUCUGACACCUCAAGACAUUUUCUGCUCACCCAAAAAGUUACUGGUAUCAUUGAGGAGGAGAAAUAUUUUAUUGUAUAUAAGAUAUUAAGAUCUGUGCUAAGCCACUUAACCAUUAUUCCUGUUCAUACCUCUACUAACAGACCGGCCUGUACCAUCUCAAACAACCCUUCUGUCAACAAAGUAAGACAUUUAUUCAGACAGGCUUUUAAAUCAGAAAGUCUUUAAAGAACGGACAGGGGAUGUUGCACUAUGUUAAUUGUAUUGUACUGUCUUAUCUUUUUAACUGCAUUUUAUUAUUUUGGUGAGUAUUGUGUUUUAAUGCUAAUUUAAUGCUUAAUUUUAUUUUAAUGUUCACUUUUGUAUGUUUUUGAUUGUAUUCUUUUAAAACAUAAGCCACUUUGAGUUCCAAGUUUUUUUUUUGGGGGGGGGCAGUAUAUAAAUAAAUAUAAUAAGAAUAACCAUUUGAAGGCUUAUGGACAGUGUCACAAUUUGCAUCUUUCUUUAAGCCGUUACACUCUGAUUCUUCUGCACAACAAUGUAAUUGUGUUUUAACAUUAUGGCUUGGACAUUGCAUUCCAUGAAUUGCAUUCCCUGAAAACAUCUGAAGAAAUGGAUCUAAAUAAACAAAAGUUCAUGCAAAAAUUAAUCAAUAUUAAAGGUAACAAAAGAAAAACUUUGAAGAAAUAUUAACCUAGUGUCCCAUAUAAUUUGGCAGUUACAAUAUGCUUCUUCUUUAGAACAAGCUCAUGUUUUUUAUAUUUGUUACUAUUUCCCAACCAGUCCUAUUCAAAACAUAAAUAUGGUAAACAUUUUUCCAAGGACCAGAAAGCAUUCUCUACUUCAAAGGAAACAAGGGCCUGGAUCCUACUGGUAGUACAAACUAGAGUAGAUCCAUUGAAUCAAAUGGUAAAUGGUAAACCAACACUUAUGUAAAUCCUACUGAAUCAACUGUCUAAUUUAAUCAGGUCAAAGUUUAGUAAAUGAGCUUUUUAAAAUGCAUACACAAACUUCAGGUCAUCAUUUGUUUGGUCUGGUAUGUUUUACUUGUGUUUGAUGCUCACUUUUUGGCAGACUUUAUAUUCUUUUAAAUCUACACAUGGCUUGGCCACCCUCCCCCAUUGGAAACAUUUAGGGGACAGAAGAUCUCCAGCCUGUUCUGACUUGUAACUAGUGGCAGUGGCAUCAUGGGGUGUGUGGGGGGCGUGGACCCGGAGGAGGAGUGACACCUGGUUGGGCCCUUUGAGGCAGGAGGGGCGUAUGUGCCCUUGCUGGCUGCUCUGGCCCUGAGCUUCUUCCCAGGGAGAAAGCCUGGGCCAGAGGAAUGUGCCCUUUUGGCUGCUGCCACACCCCUGAUGGGUGACACCUAGCAUAGGUGAGAUCACUGAAUCAAUUAAUUAUAAGUAGGUGUAAUACAGCUAGCUAUUUUUGAAACUAAUCAUCAUGGUCCAAUACAUGCUUGGAGAGUAUUAUUCAAAACAAUUGUGUGAAAAUACAUCAACUGCAGCAUAUUUCCUAACUACGCAUGUUUGAACUGCAGUGUUUGUUGAAAACUUUUAUUGCUGUUGUAAGUUACUUUAUUAUGGAAAUGGCACUAGUAGUUUAAAUAUUAUCACAAACACAAGCUAUAUAAAUGCUGAACAACUUACCAUAAAACUUCCUAUUUGUCCCUAGAAAGCACGCUAUGUGUCUGAGCAUACAGUAGACAAAAUACUAAAAGUAGCAUUGUGCUGUCACAAUCUCACCUUUAAAAAUUGAGAGAAAUAACUGUUCUUCAUACGGUUAGCAAAGCAGGAACCAUUUUCUCUUAGACUACAAGUUUAAUUAUUUAAAGUGGAUUUGCAGCUGGUGUGUUUCAAAUUCAACCUUAAAUUGGAUUAUUAAUAGAUCAGUAUGCAAUCAUUUAUCUGAUAUUGUGGCAUAUAUUCAAUUUAAAGUUAGACAUUCUUGAGUCCAUUAAUUUUAAGGGUUUCAGUAUGCAUAACUCAAUGUUUUGGAUUUAGGCUGAUAUAUUUUGGAGACAUACUGAAACAUAUUGGUAAAAUUGCUAUAGAAUUGCUAUAGCACUUUCUACUGUCUCUCUUGUGAUCUCUCUGUCUGUAUCAUUGUUGUUUUAUGCCUUCAAGUCAUUUCCAACUUAUGGUGAACCUAAGGUGACCCUAUCACGGAGUUGUCUUGGCAAGAUUUGUUCAGAGGGAGUUUGACUUCUUCUGAGGCUGAAAGAGUGCAACUUGCACAAACAAGUGGGUUUCCAUGGCUGAGUAGGGAUUUGAACCCUGGUAUCCUAGCCCAAAACUUAAACCACAACACCAUGAUGGUAUAUCGACUUUGACCAUCAGGUUACACAGGAUUCUUCUCCUGUCUUCUCCUAAAUAGUUUGAGGCUUUUCUUCUCUCAGAACUAUUUCUCUAACCCUUGAUCUUCCCAUUUUCUUCACUAUUAUGUGUUUCUAAUAUUCUUGGUAGCAUGUUUUUGAUGUUGUUAAUUAUAAAUGACUUCCAGCCACUCCCUUGUGAACAAGAAGAAAAUAGCUUUUCUUUACAGAAAGAGCUUAUGAUGGUAUCUCUUUUGGUAGUUGGUUUUCAGAGCUUGUGGUUACAAUGUGUAUAUCACUUCACUUGUUACUAAUGUGACUUUGUUCCCAUUCACUCAGUGACUUCAGUUACACUUCAACGGUGUUUUAUUUCUGUACACACAUCUUCCACUAAAGCUCAUUCAUUAAGAGUAUAAAUUCUAUGAAACUAUCUUUAUUCAUAAGUUACACUUCCACAGAAUAAGGUGGAUAUGAGUCUUCCUUUUAUUGCCUCUCUACUGCUCAAAGAACGUAACAGUUUAAACUGAUUUCACAGGGCUUCUUCUGCACUUCUAAAAUCUUUCCUCCUUGUAUGGGAAUCUGAAUCGCAUUAACGCUGAGCCCUUAUUUCCAACUCUAUUCCUGUCAGUUCCAGCUGCACUCCUGACAAUUCUGUGACACACUCCUUGUGUCCCUGGACUUUCUUUGUCCUUUUACAAUGUCAUUCCUUAAAUGGGAGUCUGAGGGGUGAAACAGACCGUCCCUUUGCGCUGGCUUGGGGGUGGUGUUAAAGUGUGGCAUUUAGAGGCCGCAUGUGCUGACGCAGCCCUGAAGUCAGUGUCAUGCUGCACACCCAACCACAUGGGGGGACGGUUUUACGGUGCUCUGAUGGCGCAGUGUUUACACCCUGCAGGAGUGCUGCCAAGCUGGCACAGAACUAAAAAAGGCAGCUUUUUGCUGGCUCAAAAAGGAGCGGCAAUUUGCUGCUUUUUGUGCGGGCAAAAAGCCGGGUUGGGACUGUUGCAUGUGGUUGCCAUAGCCCCAACCCAGUGUACAAAGAGGUGGCAUCAAGCUGCAGUGCCAUCUGUUUCAGUCCUGAAUCCCAUUAAGGAUCAUCUCUUCUAUACUAACUGCACUAUUGGCAGUUUCUGACACACUCCUCCUUCUUAACAGCUGCUUCUCCUUUUUAUAGCCACUCAUCAGACAGGCCCAUAUCUUUUCCCCAGCCUUACUCUGAUUGGCUGUUCUGAACUUUCCAUUCUGCCGGUGUUUCUCCACAUCAAUGCACACAUAAUCCUAGUUGAGUUGAUUUUUUAAAAUAGACAUAUAUACUUUGGUUGUUAUCUUAUUAUAAUUCUGUCUUGUGAUGGUUUUUAAAUCUAAGCCAGGGUUGGGAAUUAUGUGGCCCUCCAGGUAUCAUUGCACUACAACUCUCAACAGCUCUACCCAGAAUAGCCAAUGCUGAGGAAUGCAGGGAGCUGCAGCUGAACAGCAUCUGGAGGACCACAGAACCCCAAUCCCUGCUAUAAGAAGAAUCCUAUCAUGAGUACUUUGUACAGUAGAGAGGAAAACAUUUGAUGAUGAUGGUACCACUACUGUUAUUACUAUUACCUAUAUAUAUCCAGUAGUGAUUCCAUAUGCUGGAGAUGCUCAGUCUUGGCAAAUGAGAUGAAUGAAGUUUUUUUUU